UUGUGUCGAACGGGGUUAUUCUUUAUAGCUUGCUAUGGGGACAAUUAGUGGCAGACGGGUGAGUAAUGCAUAGGAAUCUACCUAGUAGUAUAGGAUAGCCACUAGAAGUGGUGGGUAAUACUGUAUAAUCCCUGCGGGGGAAAGAUUUAUCGCUACAUGAUGAGCCUAUGUUAGAUUAGCUAGUUGGUGGGGUAAUGGCCUACCAAGGCAGUGAUCUAUAGCUGGUCUGAGAGGAUGAUCAGCCACACUGGAACUGAGACACGGUCCAGACUCCUACGGGAGGCAGCAGUGGGGAAUAUUGGACAAUGGGCGCAAGCCUGAUCCAGCUAUGCCGCGUGAGUGAGGAAGGCCUUAGGGUUGUAAAACUCUUUCAGUAGGGAAGAUAAUGACGGUUAAA
rnacentral:rRNA from 1 species